GGCAACAGAAGAAAGAGAGGGGGAGAGAGAAGAGGUGGCGGGGCUCAUAAGAGCAAAGUCAUUUUAGGCCAUAGCCUCACCUUAAUCAAGCGAUGACGUCAACCUCCUAUCGAAGGCUGCUGGACAGCCAUCAGCAGAGGAAACCGUGCUCCCCCAACGCCCUCCUUACUGCCCACUCCCUCCUGAGAUGGGACGCCGGACCAGGACGUGCCAGUUCACGCAGCUGCACGAGGAUCUAAAUCAGGUAACCAGUCUGGGAAGCCUCCAGAGACCAGUGGAGCCCAGGGAGCAAGCCCUCUGAAGUUCCCCAAGCCAGCUGAACACCACAUCCCUAAUUAAGCUCUCUGGUGUUAACUUCAGAGCUACUUUUCCCCAAACAGUGCAAGUGAAGAACAGAGUGUACUGGCUAUGGUGCCAGUUCCUAUGCUCCUCUCAACCUUUAUGGGCUAAGGCAACAAAGGAGGAGAGAAUUUGCCUACCAUUUCCAGAAACAUCACCAGCAAUUAAUAGAUCCAUCUGUUGACUUCAAUUGCCCAGGCUGUUAGCAUCAACCAAUUCAACCAAAUCCUAACCAGGAUCAAACAAUGGGAAGGAUGUGCUGACCAGCUGCACUAUUGAUGCCAGCCUUCAGUUAAGAGUUCUGGCAGCUCUGCAAUGCAUGGCAAAUACAAUGCACAAAAGCGAGAUCAAUGGCAAAACAGGAAGGGAGGGAAGCAUGCCUAUGAUUUCUAAUUUAAGCAAAUACAACUGGUCCCCAUUGUAUACAGCAAACAAUCACGUCCACCCCUAUUUACAGUGCCUGCAUGUGUCUGUGUACGGAAAUUGCCUCUGCAAACCCUGGUCCCAGAAGUGGCAGAGCAGCCAUGAUACAGAACAAAACCCUUAAGACAGUCAAAAACAAAGUACCGCACUUCAAGCUUGACAGGCACCAAGGGCUUCCCUUCCCUUUCUUCAUUCAACUCUGGCCCCUUCUUCUCUGCCUCAAAGAAAAAUACCUUGGCCUCUUCAACACAAUUUCCUUCUGCUGUAAUGCUAAGAACUGAGAAGCAACAGUCUAAUAUAAAUCAAAGGUAUUUAGUUUACUGACAAUUUUUUAAAUGAAAAAUGCUCCAAGGACAAAUCUCUAUAAUUAACAGGAAGAAGUUGUGGAGGAGAUGAUGUUCCAGUUUUUCUCUUAGCCUGAUCUAGCAGACCGAGAAUCAACAUAAUUAAGAGUAAACAAACCAUCUCAGCCUGUAGCUGCACCGCCAGGGCAAUACACUUCUCCUGCCAUCUGAAUACUCUCCAUAACUUAUUUUCCCUCCUUUCUCUACCCAAAUUGCUUGCAAGUGUGCUGGUGUUCAUUUUCAAAUAAGGCUGUGUAUGUUGGUUAUCUUGAAGCCAAGUGCUUCAAUUCACGCAUUUCUUCAGUCUCUUCCUGUGCUACUGCAGCUGAAGCAGGGGCCAGCUUGGGGAUGUUGUCCACCUCUGGUGGAUGGGGACUCUGUGCAGACCUGGAAAUGAUAUCGCUCCAGCUCUGUGGCUGCCAACUUUGGUGGCGUGUGCUGAGUAAAUGUGACCUUGGUUCUGGUCUCUAGCUAAGACAUGCAAGUGUUUUAUCUUUGGGAACUUGACUUCCCUUCAGAAACCACAAGCCUGCAUCUGAGACAGAGGGUGAGACCAAAUGCAAAGGGAAAAAAUGGUGAAGGAGGGCAGCAGGGAGGAGGUAAGGGUAUGUGUACUUAAUGCACUGUUUAGAUGAUGGGUGUGGACGACAGCUGAGUCUGUCAGCUUCUUAGUUUUCCUUCAUCUCUGGAGUAUCUACUUUUUCUAUAGUGGUAGUAUAGUUAUAGAAUGGGUCAAACCUAGCCCUUGGUGAUGCUCCUUCAGACUUGUUAGUGACUUGUAGUUGUCCUGUUGUCUACAGUCAAUCUGAAAAUGCAAGCAAUGGUACACAUCUCCUUAACCUGUCCUUUAGCAGUGCAUGAGCCCCUGGCUGUUAAGUGGCAUUGAAAAAGAAGCUUUUGAGAGGUAUUUCAAAUUUCCCUUAAUCUGUUUGUUUUGUUGCCUUUUGAUGGCAGGUCAGCUGUUUCCCAAGAGUUGGUGCAAUUGUGUGAAGGAGGUACUAUGG